rnacentral:rRNA from 1 species
UACGUAGGGUGCUAGCGUUGUUCGGAAUCACUGGGCGUAAAGGGAGUGUAGGCGGGGUCGUAAGUUAGGAGUUUAAUGCAUGGGCUUAACCCAUGAUCUGCUUUUAAUACUGCGAUUCUUGAGUAUGGGAGAGGGCGAUGGAAUUCCAGGUGUAGCGGUGGAAUGCGUAGAUAUCUGGAAGAACACCAGUAGCGAAGGCGGUCGCCUGGCCCAAUACUGACGCUGAUGCUCGAAAGCUAGGGGAGCAAACAGG